GACGAACGCUGGCGGCGUGCUUAACACAUGCAAGUCGAACGGAAAGGCCCUGCUUUUGUGGGGUGCUCGAGUGGCGAACGGGUGAGUAACACGUGAGUAACCUGCCCUUGACUUUGGGAUAACUUCAGGAAACUGGGGCUAAUACCGGAUAGGAGCUCCUGCUGCAUGGUGGGGGUUGGAAAGUUUCGGCGGUUGGGGCUGGACUCGCGGCUUAUCAGCUUGUUGGUGGGGUAGUGGCUUACCAAGGCUUUGACGGGUAGCCGGCCUGAGAGGGUGACCAGCCACCUUGGGACUGCGAUACGGCGCAGACUCCUACGGGAGGCAGCAGUGGGGAAUAUUGCACAGUGGGGGGAAGCCUGAUGCAGCAACGCCGCGUGCGGGAUGACGGCCUUCGGGUUGUAAACCGCUUUCGCCUGUGACGAAGCGUGAGUGACGGUAAUGGGUAAAGAAGCACCGGCUAACUACGUG
rnacentral:rRNA from 1 species